AAGCAUCAAUACAUUUUUUAGGUUGACCCCCUGUCAGAACCAAUGACAGAACGUGCAAAAUGCCAUAGUGAAAUCCAAUAAUUCAUUAUAUGUAUUAUGCACUUAUCAAUGUUAAGCCCUAGAGGAGGGGGGUCAGGCAUAGGUGGGGCAUUUGAUUUUUAGAGCAAAUUUUCAAUCAAAUGUCCCACCGUCGGGCAAUAAAUAUUAGUCAAAUGCCCCACCAUUUUGCAAUAAAUAGUAUGUUAAUAAAAGUCAUUUGGUUCAAAUUGCCCCAACUCGGGGCCAAAAUGCUAUUCAAAAUCCCCAGGGUGGGGAGCAAUUGAUGAUUAAAUACCCCACAUAUACCCGGCCCCCCCCGACCCCCUCUGGGGGUUAACAUUGAUAGGUGCAUUAGGUGUAUGCAGACUGGAAUACCAGUUUAAUUUAACAACUUUAAUUUGGCACAUAAAAAACUGAAUAUUUACAUAACUUAAACGGACAAUUACAUUGUACAAGAAGACGAGGAAAGUGCCAAAAGUGGCGAAACACAAACGAGACUAUGUCCCAUGCAGGGUGCUCACCACUAGACAAGAAACAAAGACAAGAAACAAAGACAAGGAAGAUUAAAUGAAAAGACUAAGAGAAUGAAAAGGCAGAAAGAAUGAAAAGACAAAGAGAGAAAUGUUAGAUAUUUUUUAUUGAGUCGUGAUAAGUGAGUGUGAACUAGGUAAGUCAGGAGUGUAGGAAGUACUAGUGAGGUGGAUGUAAGUCUUGCGCAAGUAUGACUUAAAAGAGGAGACAGUGACAUAACAAUACGAAGGAGCAGACGUACAAACAUAGUUCCACAGUUUAACAAUUCUAACACAAUACGAACUUAAAAUAUCACUGCCUGUGAAAUUGUGGUUUAUUUAGCGAAUAAAAGUUUUUUGAACUCUUCAAUAAAUAAAUUAUAACAGCAAAAGAUUCAUAUGCACCCAUAUAGGGAAGGGUUACAUGCUACAAGUUAAAAUGAGUAUUACAUACUCCUGCACUUGAAAAGUUUACAGUACAAUAUAUACAUUAAAGGUGAUCUACAGUCCGAUCUGCGCAUGUGCACAAAUGAGCCCACUUUUUAUGAUACAAACAGUUUAACUAUGUUUUGAGUUCUUGAAAAGCCUAAUUGUUGUUUGUUGAUCAUUUAUUAUACUCUAGAAGCUUGAAAAUAUAAAUAGUUGUCGAAUAAA